GAUGAACGCUAGCGGCAGGCUUAAUACAUGCAAGUCGAGGGGUAACAUGGGGUAGCAAUACUCUGAUGACGACCGGCAAACGGGUGCGGAACACGUACGCAACUUUCCCAAAACUGGUGAAUAGCCCUCCGAAAGGAGGAUUAAUACACCGUAACAUAUAGAGGUGGCAUCGCCUUUAUAUUAUAGCUCCGGCGGUUUUGGAUGGGCGUGCGCCUGAUUAGGUAGUUGGUGUGGUAACGGCUCACCAAGCCUACGAUCAGUAACUGGUGUGAGAGCACGACCAGUCACACGGGCACUGAGACACGGGCCCGACUCCUACGGGAGGCAGCAGUAAGGAAUAUUGGACAAUGGGGGCAACCCUGAUCCAGCCAUGCCGCGUGUGUGAAGAA
rnacentral:rRNA from 1 species